AUUGAACGCUGGCGGCAUGCCUAACACAUGCAAGUCGAACGAGUGGCGGACGGGUGAGUAAUGUCUGGGAAACUGCCCAGUGGCGGGGGAUAACUACUGGAAACAGUAGCUAAUACCGCAUACCAUCAGAUUGGCCCAGAUGGGAUUAGCUAGUUGGUGGGGUAACGGCUCACCAAGGCAACGAUCCCUAGCGGGUUUGAGAGGAUGACCAGCCACACUGGAACUGAGACACGGUCCAGACUCCUACGGGAGGCAGCAGUGGGGAAUUUUGGACAAUGGGGGCAAGCCUGAUGCAGCCAUGCCGCGUGUAUGAUGAAGGCCUUCGGGUUGUAAAGUACUUUCAGCGGGGAGGCGUUAUCCGCAGAAGAAGCACCGGCUAACUACGUGCCAGCAGCCGCGGUAAUAC
rnacentral:rRNA from 1 species